UGGGGAAUAUUGCACAAUGGGCGCAAGCCUGAUGCAGCCAUGCCGCGUGUAUGAAGAAGGCCUUCGGGUUGUAAAGUACUUUCAGCGGGGAGGAAGGCGAUAAGGUUAAUAACCUUGUCGAUUGACGUUACCCGCAGAAGAAGCACCGGCUAACUCCGUGCCAGCAGCCGCGGUAAUACGGAGGGUGCAAGCGUUAAUCGGAAUUACUGGGCGUAAAGCGCACGCAGGCGGUCUGUCAAGUCGGAUGUGAAAUCCCCGGGCUCAACCUGGGAACUGCAUUCGAAACUGGCAGGCUAGAGUCUUGUAGAGGGGGGUAGAAUUCCAGGUGUAGCGGUGAAAUGCGUAGAGAUCUGGAGGAAUACCGGUGGCGAAGGCGGCCCCCUGGACAAAGACUGACGCUCA
rnacentral:rRNA from 1 species